rnacentral:rRNA from 1 species
GACAGAGGUGCCGAGCGUUAGGCGGAAUCACUGGGCUUAAAGCGUGUGUAGGCGGACCGUUAAGUGUCUUGUGAAAUCCCACGGCUCAACCGUGGAACGGCUGGGCAUACUGGCGGUCUUGAGCGGUCCAGGGGCGAGCGGAACAAGCGGUGGAGCGGUGAAAUGCGUAGAUAUCGCUUGGAACGCCGACGGUGAAAACAGCUCGCUGGGGACCCGCUGACGCUGAGACGACGAAAGCCAGGGGAGCGAAC